GGGUAAGAUCUACGAGCAAUGUUUCCCCAGCAUUACUAGGGAAGAAGGAAAGAAGGAAAGAAUAACAAGAGAGAGGGCCUCUCUAUUCCUAUGGCAAGUCUCAUAUACCAUUUCUUAAAACACAGGAUUUGCCUUGUUUCCUAAGGCCUGAUUUUUUUUUUUGUAACUUCCUUUUUUGUUUUCUCUCUAGAGAUUUGACUUGAGGAAGACAGGAUGGAGGUUCCACAUGGUGACUGCCAGGUCUCAUGAAACAGGUUUAUAUACUAGUGUUUUGAGCAGAUUUCAAUAAAAGUGGAUUCUGCUGCUACGGCGAUUCAUUACCAACAUCACAGGCCAAGCACGCGCUGUCCCUGGGCGGGGAGGGCCCCCCGGAAAUUAAGCAGCAGCCGGCGCGGCCGCCCCGCAGCAGGCUGGAGGCAGAGCGCGCAACGGUCCGGGGGCAGCCUCGUCCCCCGCCCCGGGGCGGAGUCUGGAGCAGCCGAGCGGAGCAGCGACUCCGCGGAAAGGACCGGCUCUCGCUGUCUCCUUUCUUGAGGAUGUGCCUCCUCCCGUCAGCCUGCUUCAGACAGGUUAAAGCAACAGCUUCAGAUUGGGGCACAGGGAAGCCUCAGGAAC
rnacentral:lncRNA from 1 species